UACGUAGGGUGCAAGCGUUGUCCGGAAUUAUUGGGCGUAAAGAGCUCGUAGGCGGUUUGUCGCGUCUGCUGUGAAAUCCCAGGGCUUAACCCUGGGCCUGCAGUGGGUACGGGCAAACUAGAGUGCGGUAGGGGAGAUCGGAAUUCCUGGUGUAGCUGUGAAAUGCGCAGAUAUCAGGAGGAACACCGGUGGCGAAGGCGGAUCUCUGGGCCGUAACUGACGCUGAGGAGCGAAAGCAUGGGUAGCGAACAGG
rnacentral:rRNA from 1 species